GCGCGUGACAGUCCUCGCCAGUCAGUGCCAGUGCAAACCUAGUCUGCAGAGGGAGACGGGAUACUCAGCCGGUGGAUUUCUGCGACAAGAUGGCCGCCGCCCACGAAAAGAGGCAAUUUUACAAGGACUCCGUCCUCGAGUACUUGAAGGAGAAGGGCGAGGAGGACGCCCACGCGAGAGAUGAGGUCCUGAGGAUCCCGACUUAGGCCUCAACAAGGAUGAGAAGAAUGCUUUAAAUCAGGCCAUCACCACCAUGAUAGCACAAGGGCUUUUAUCCCUUGAUAUGGACGAGGGAAAAGAGUUCUUGAGGGUUGACGAUGCCGAUAAAAGCAUCAACGAGCCCAAAAACAAAAGAAGAAGACAAAGAAGGGCAAACCGAAGAAGUUCAAGCAGCAACCGACGAUUUGGAACAAAACAGCCUCAGCUUCCGUGGCCGCCAGAUGUUCUGAUUAAAGCAG